AGCAGACAGACUGUAAAAGCAGAUUUAUAUGCAAUGACACUGGGUCCGGUGUUGGGGAGGAUCAGAGGUCACGAGCAUCACAGGCCAUAUGACAAGGGCAGUGACUGGCUUUUUGUCCGUGACCUCCCGGAAUCCAGUACCUGAAUUUCGGCACACAGUGGGCGCUCGAUGGCAUUUGCUGAAUGAACGCGGGAGCAAAUGAAUAGUAU